CAGCCGCCGCGGGAAUACGUAGGGUGCAAGCGUUAAUCGGAAUUACUGGGCGUAAAGCGUGCGCAGGCGGUUCUAUAAGACAGAUGUGAAAUCCCCGGGCUCAACCUGGGAACUACAUUUGUGACUGUAGAGCUGGAGUGCGGCAGAGGGGGAUGGAAUUCCGCGUGUAGCAGUGAAAUGCGUAGAUAUGCGGAGGAACACCGAUGGCGAAGGCAAUCCCCUGGGCCUGCACUGACGCUCAUGCACGAAAGCGUGGGGAGCAAACAGGAUUAGAUACCCCGGUAGUCCCUGUCUCUUAUAC
rnacentral:rRNA from 1 species